rnacentral:pre_miRNA from 1 species
UAUUAAAAAUUUCAUACAUUUGUAUUGUUAAAAACUAACGAAGUGUACCACAUGUACCUUUUGCUGGCGUACAAGAAUUAGUUUUUUAACAGUAGAAAAUAAAUGAAAUUUUUAAUA